UUAAAGACUGUGAAGAGAAGAGUAAAUUUAGGAAGUAGUCUUAGCGAAUCAGGGAGGGUGUAAGCCUGAUACGAAGCCUAUAUUGAAGAACAUCUCGGAGUUGCCAACCGAAAUAUCGUAAGAUAAAGUAGACUUGGACGGGUUCAAACCGUUAAUACUUGAAUAUUGUAAUUAGAAUUUUUUCUAACGCAAUAGUUUGGAGUGGUCAAUGUUUACUAUUGGCAAUCUGGGUGGUACCACGGAAAUUCAACCUUUCGUCCCUAUU
rnacentral:ncRNA from 1 species